UACGUAGGGUGCGAGCGUUAAUCGGAAUUACUGGGCGUAAAGCGUGCGCAGGCGGUGAUGUAAGACAGUUGUGAAAUCCCCGGGCUCAACCUGGGAAUUGCAUCUGUGACUGCAUCGCUAGAGUACGGUAGAGGGGGAUGGAAUUCCGCGUGUAGCAGUGAAAUGCGUAGAUAUGCGGAGGAACACCAAUGGCGAAGGCAAUCCCCUGGACCUGUACUGACGCUCAGGCACGAAAGCGUGGGGAGCAAACAGG
rnacentral:rRNA from 1 species